UGGGAAUAUUGGACAAUGGGGUAACCCCUGAUCCAGCCAUGCCGCGUGAGUGAUGAAGGCCUUGGGGUUGUAAAGCUCUUUUAGUAGGGAAGAAGGGAAACUUGACUGUACCUACAGAAAAAGCACCGGCUAACUCUGUGCCAGCAGCCGCGGUAAUACAGAGGGUGCAAGCGUUGUUCGGAAUUAUUGGGCGUAAAGCGCGUGUAGGCGGUCGAAUAAGUCUGGUGUGAAAGCCUGGGGCUCAACCCCGGAAGUGCACUGGAUACUGUUUGACUAGAGGACGAGAGAGGAGAGUGGAAUUCCUGGUGUAGGGGUGAAAUCCGUAGAUAUCAGGAGGAACAUCUGUGGCGAAGGCGGCUCUCUGGCUCGUUUCUGACGCUGAGACGCGAAAGCGUGGGGAGCAAAC
rnacentral:rRNA from 1 species